rnacentral:lncRNA from 1 species
CCGCCUCCCAGGUGCAACUGAUUCUCCUGCCUUUGCCUCCCAAGUAUCUGGGAUUACAAGCAUGCACCAACACACCCAGGUAAUUUUUGUAUUUUUAGUAGAGACAGGGAUUCACCAUAUUGGCCAGAUGGGUCUGAAACUCCUGACCUAAGAAAAACAUUUCCCUAGAUAGAAGCUGCUCCACUAUUCUGAAGGGAAGUAGAAACGAUGAAAAGCAGAACUGGAGAUGAUCCAUGAUGGACAUAUAGUGAGGAGCAUUAUCCGCUGCUUGGACCGUGAGUGCGUAAGUCCGCCCGACUAUCAUUUCCACCCCUGGAGCGAUGGUGAUAAGCCCUGUUGUUUUAUUGAUGAUGAAGUCUCCCUGAGCCCCAACAAGGAUUUCAUAUGUGAUCUCCCCAUUUGACCCUUCGUCUGCGUCGACUGCAGUGAGCUGGAAUUGAAAAUCACAACAUAAAUCCUCUUGGGUCUCAACUUUUCACCACCAUGUCGUUUUUUCCCCCAACAAAAGAAGCUUGCUUUCAAAGAAAAAAACACAGGAAAGUUUCCUUGACAUAUAUACUGUUUUUUGUUUUUUGUUUUUUUAACUGAGGCUACUGUGUCCUGUUACAAUACUAAAGCAAUCACAAAAAUAAGAGUGAUUUUGUUUUUUGUGAGAGUGAUUAAGAAAUAAACUUUGGAUCUUGAAG